rnacentral:rRNA from 1 species
GAAAGGCUCAUUAAAUCAGUUAUGGUUCCUUAGAUCGUACCCACAAUUACUUGGAUAACUGUGGUAAUUCUAGAGCUAAUACAUGCAAACAGAGCUCCGACCGGAGACGGAAGGAGUGCUUUUAUUAGGUCAAAACCAAUCGGUGGCGGGUUCGCCCGUUAUCGUACAACUUGGUGACUCUGAAUAACUUUACGCUGAUCGCACGGUCAUCGCACCGGCGACGCAUCUUUCAAAUGUCUGCCUUAUCAACUGUCGAUGGUAGGUUCUGCGCCUACCAUGGUUGUAACGGGUAACGGGGAAUCAGGGUUCGAUUCCGGAGAGGGAGCCUGAGAAACGGCUACCACAUCCAAGGAAGGCAGCAGGCGCGCAAAUUACCCACUCCCGGCACGGGGAGGUAGUGACGAAAAAUAACGAUACGGGACUCAUCCGAGGCCCCGUAAUCGGAAUGAGUACACUCUAAACCCUUUAACGAGGAUCAAUUGGAGGGCAAGUCUGGUGCC